rnacentral:rRNA from 1 species
UACGGAGGGGGCUAGCGUUGUUCGGAAUUACUGGGCGUAAAGCGCACGUAGGCGGCUUUGUAAGUUAGAGGUGAAAGCCCGGGGCUCAACUCCGGAAUUGCCUUUAAGACUGCAUCGCUAGAAUUGUGGAGAGGUAAGUGGAAUUCCGAGUGUAGAGGUGAAAUUCGUAGAUAUCAAGCGGAACACCGGUGGCGAAGGCGGCCUUCUGGACAGUGACUGACGCUGAGACG